UCCCUGGUGACUCAGACGGUAAAGGGUCUGCCUGCAAUGCAGGAGACCCUGGUUCAAUCCCUGGGUAGGGAA
rnacentral:tRNA from 1 species